UCCGGCCCCAAGGCCCUGACGGGGGCUCCCUCCCCAAGGCCCUGAUGGGGGCUCCCGCCCCAAGGCUCACGGGGGCUCCCGCCCCAGGGCUCAUGGGGGCUCCCGCCCCAAGGCUCACGGGGGCUCCAGCCCCAAGGCUCACAGGGGCUCCCACCCCAAGGCCCUGAUGGGGGCUCCCGCCCCAAGGCCCGGACAGGGGGCUCCCGCCCCAAGGCUCACGGGGGCUCCCGCCCUGCCCGGGGACUCGGAGCUCGGCGCGGUCCCUUUCUGGCCUCCCACCAUCUUGGCUCCUGCCAAGGCUUGUGCGGGGGGGGCAAGGGGGGCGCCUUCCUCACACCCGGCGCCUCUCCCCUAGGUGGACAAAGAGUGACCCCCAUGUGGGCGCUGGAAGAGUCUCCAGGAAGGAGGCUGCGCCCUCCGAGGCAGGGCUGAUGGCGGCCCUUCCUUGUCUAAGGUGUCCGGCCGCACCCCACCAACGACAAACCGGGGAGAGCCUGCCCAGCGGCCGGCGCAGACCACCUGCAGUCAACUCAGAUGGAGGGGGAGGGGGAGGUCAGUCGGUGGUGUGAGGGCUGGGGAAGACCCCUACCCAAAAUGACUACUCAGAGAUCCCUCAGUAGAAGCAGAAAAGUUGUUUAUUGAAAACCUCCGGAGGAUGAGCCGUCCCAUCGCGAGAUAAGAAAGAGAGAGCUCGGGGGAGGAGGCCUAAAGAAGUAGGAAAGAUACCCAGCUCUUACACAAGAGAUCACAUCCCCAGUGAGAGAGCACUGAGAAGGGGAGGGGGAGGCGGCUCACUGCUUGUGGCUAUUCGGGGAGAUGGCAGUGGAAGGUUUCUGUUUCCCGGAAACCUCCUGAUUUCUAGGAAACAAAGUCAGGCCUUCAGGCUUAAUCCAGCAGACAGUGUCAAAUACCGAUAAAUGUCAUCAGCUCAGGUUAAGGAAAUACGCUUCCAGCUGGCCAAGGCUGGAGGACAUAGGAGCCUGCCCAUGUUAUACAGGUCGUGGGGGAGACACAGGAACAAUGAAACACAGAAAAAGGACUCACACGUCCCGUAAGUUCUUCCCUUGUCCGGUCCCCGCAGUGGCGAAGAACGGGCCGGCCCGGAAAAGGAGUCGGACGUGUCCGGGCCGUGGUGGGGGCGGGGAGGCGGGUGCCCUGGAGUCGGGAGCACUCUCUUCCAGAGUUCAAGGCCAGCCCCACUUCCUGAGUCACUCCAGGCCUCAGUUUCCUCAUCUGUAAAAUGGAGGGAAAUGCAAACCACCCCGUCCCUCUGCCCGGGAAACCCCAGAGGGGCUCAGGAGAGUUGGACGAGACUGAAACCAACAAAGCAAAGCUACAGGUGCGGCAAGGAGGCUGCCCGUGCCAGAUGUGCCCUGCACAUGAUGCUAGCGGUUUCCCGCCUGCUUGACUGGGCUGUUGUUAUUAUUUUACUGUUAUUGUUCAUUGGCUUAUAUGUCUCUGAGGUCAUAGUAAUAGCGGACAUUUAUUAAGCACCUACUGCGUGCCAGGCGAUGUGCCAAGUGACUUAUAAUUAUCAGCUAAUUUGAUUGUCCCGGUAUAACGUAAGUGCUAAUAUUAGCCCUGUUUUACAGGUGGGGAAACCGAGGCAAGCAGGGUGAAGUGACUUGCCUGGAGUCACCCAGCUAGUCAGUGUCAGAGGACGGAUUUGAACUCGGGUUUCCCCGACUUCCGACUCAGCGCUCUGCUCCUGGGAACGAGAGGGCCUUCCUGACACUUACACGUCCCCGUUCGGCGUGAGGGGAACUCCUCCGGCCGUGGCAAGCUGUCCAGCCGUCGCGGAAAGGACUUCAAGAGAGGGGCUCGCUUCAGGAAACAGGCUGGCAGGCUGCAGCAGCGCAGGCCCCUCGGCACGACUCCCCCGCGCCCCGGACUCUUCCUCGAGCCCCAGGGAUGGGCCCUGGCUGGAGGGGCCACGUGCCCUCCCUCCCCUGGGUGGUCUCCCAGACCCUCAGCCGGCUGCCAGCCCCACAAGCGAGCCAGUGGAAACUUCUCCUGGACCCGCCCCAAGCCACUCACUGAGGAAAAAAUGCUCUCCCGUCCCUAUUUUCGCUGGUUCCGGACCAGGAAAAUUCCCGAGGCAGCUUGGCCCAGCUCAAGCGAAUCCUGGCGAUGCCGUUCAAGCCCCUCUCCUUUAAAGCCUGUUGGGAGAAGGCACCGGAUCCGGGCCAGGGCACAGUUUUUUCUUUGUCCUUUUUUAGCUUUUUAUUUUCCAAACAUAAGCGUCGAUAACUUUCAACAUUCACUCCUGCCAGACCUUGAGUCCCAGAGUCUUUCUCCCGCCCUUAGACAUCAAGUAAUCCAACGUAUGUUUAACACGGGCAGUUCUUCUGUAGCUAUUUCCACCUUUAUUUUGCUGCACAAGAAAAAUCAGAUCAGAAAGGAAAGAAAAAGCCGGCGGACGACAGAAAGGCGGGCGCGCCACGUGCCAUCUCCGGGCCUUUCGGAAAUCAUCCUGCACGUAGAUUUUACCCAUACGCCCUCACGCGGGGCUUUCCAAUGGCUUCUGGCUUUUGUCGACACCUUGGCCAGUUGGGUAGAGCCUCUCCUUGCAGGACCGAGAAAGUCCAGGAAGGGAUUUAGUAAAAUCGAUUCCACCUGGCUUUGCUCUGCCUGGCUCCUGCAAGGGGCAGCGGUCCAGCACUGGCUGUUCAUUUGGUCCCCACAAGUGGGUGAAUAAUUCCAUUGUCAAAAUGUCAGUAGCGCGAGGGGGGCCCAGGAUUGUUGGGUUUAUGGCCCACAUCCCCAGGGUAGUCAGUAUCUCUGCCCAAAUGCAUUUUUUUUUUUUUUUGGCAAGAAUCCCUCUCCUUAAUGUUGUCUCUUGAAAGCUUUUCUCCCCCCUCCCCCUCUCUCUCCCCUCCCCCCGCUUCCCCCCCUCCCCAUACCCUACUUCUUGACAGGGGGAUUAUUCCCUUGCUUGGAAAUCAAGCUCCAUAGCCACGAAGUGGUCCAAGACCCCAGUUAAUGUUGUGCCACCGUUCCCUUUUAAUGCCCUGACCCAGUUUCCCUAAUUGUCCUAUUCGGUUACUCUGCCUCAGGUUAUAACCAUUCCCUCUUAAGGUUAGGAUAAAAGUCUUAUAUCUUAGACCUUAGGCUGUAAUCAUUCCCUCCUAAUGUUUGAUGGGACAAAGGUCUUCAUCCAUUUUAGACAUUAGAAUAUCAGGAGCCUCUCCGGUACCUCCCAUUGUGUCAUCCUCGGUGCCUCCCCCAUUAGCUUAUCCCCAUCCAGGUGCCUCCCCCAUUAUGUCAUUGUUCUUGUUACCCUAUAAAAGAUUCUUGUAUCUGAUAUUCCCGGCUGGAUUCUUUGAGGGGACGGUCUCAUUCAGCCCUGAGACCAAACCAUGGAUCCAUCGGUCCCAGUAAAUCUGUCCACUUAAUAAAUUAUUAAAUACUCUCUAAUCUCUCUCUUGCUCAGUUUCUCCUGCAUUACAUAGAAAGGUUUGUGUCUGGCUCUUUCGGCCCAGUAGAAUUUCCCCCUCUCUGAAGUUUGCUUUUAAGUUAAAUUAAAUAUAACCUCAGCUCCCAAAGCAUCCUCUCCUUGGGGGUCUUGGCUCCAAGACCCCCCCACUUUGGGUCCCCUUUCUCCCGCUCCUUUCUGGCCAAGGUUUGCCGGAUGUUUCCUUCAGACUCCAGGAUGCGUCUCCAAAACUUUGCUCACCCCUGGCUCAAGGCAAGGACUCACCACCUACUGGAUCUGGCCCCGGUCAGGAGGACUUUCGAGGUAGGGACAACCUCAGCAGGAAGUGGCUUCAGAAGAAGAGAUUUCCAUCCCUCGCCCCCAAAGCUUUUGGGUCCGGUUUGUUUGUGGGGAGAAUCGAGGAGAUCCAGGUAUGCGGGUGAGCUUCCGCAGAGAAAUCAUUGUAAACCAGCUGAAAGCCUGGCUGUGCCCCGGGGCAAUCAGGGAGGAGCACUGAUAGGGAUUAUCUCAAUCUGAAGCGAUCCUUUUGUUCCUGGCUUUGACGAGAUCUUCUGAACCUCAGAGUUUACUUAUCCCAGAAAGGCAAGUUAGGAUGCCAACUCCCCCCCCACCUUCCCAGGUUAAAUUUUCCCUAUAAAAGAUCUCAUGUUGUAGAACCUUGCUCAGGAGAUGACCCGGACCCAGUAGCUAUUUUCUCAAUUCUCCCAGAAUUCUCCUCGCUAAGGCUAACUAUAGCUAUGUAUCGGGGGUCAUCUGCUAACUUCUCUUGUAAUUUAGCCCACUUUUAACAGUGUGAUCAAAUCUCGAUUUGGAGGAAGUCCAAGCCUACAGAUUUGUUUGAGAUGAUCCACAUCACCGGACCAUAAACCCAACUUCCUUUGGGGCUAUUGAAAUGGGAAACCUGAAGAAACUUUCUCAAAGAGAAAGCUACCUUGAACUUUCCCUCUGUACCUACCCGACCCGAGGCAAACCUCUUUACAAAAUCUCCUGAUUGUCUUAGGGGCUUUCUUAGUGACUUUCAGAAAAAAACUUUCCUAUUCUUUGCCAUAGAUAA